GCGGCCGUAAAGGAGUCAACGCCUGGACCAAUCACAGACCAGAACGCGCAGGGUACGCAUGACGCAGACACGUUGGACGCAUAAAGUAGGUCCAGAGACUGAAAAAAGAGCAACAGAAAGGAUACAAAGUCCCGCAGCUGGCCGAAUAUCUCAUCCACCUUCCCGAUCUGCUCCUUGUUUUCCAAGUACACUGGCGCAUUAAAGUAGGGAACUUUAUUUUCUUCUGUUGUGCACUUACACACAAUGUCAUCUUCACAUGGAUGCAUGAAUUCUCCCAGUGC